GCAGGACUCGGCGGGCAAGGCAGGCAGGGAGGGCAGGGCAGGGCACUGAGAGCAGCGGCGGGCUCUGUCCCUGCGCUGCAUCCCGUGCCUGGGUCACCAUCGGUGACAGGGAGGAAGGACAUUGCUCUGUCUUGCCUGGGGAAAGGAUGAAAAGGGGGCAUUAGAAAACAUUCAUUUGGUCUCCUUUUCAGCAGACUGGCUCUUUUUAUCUCACCAGGUCUGCCUGUCUUUGGCAGAGUUGGCACAUUUCUCAUGAUUUGGAGUCAGCUACAGCAGCAGGAAGGGGCAGCAAUUUUGUCUGCAUUGUCAUCCAAGCUAAAGUGCUGGCCCAUGGGUGGAUGUUGCUUUACCCAAGGAAUACAGAUAAACACGAAUAGAUUCUAGACAAAACAAGGGAUUCAGGGUACUUGCGGUUCAGUUGUUUUGGUUUAACUAUCAGCUUGUCUACAGGAACAAAUCAGCUGUGAAUACUAAAAGUUCUUAGCAGAGACUUUUUUUUCUGGGCCUGUGCAAUGCUCUAAAUUUAUUUUUGUCCCCUACCACAAUAUUUCCUGUAAGUUGACCAGACUGCAUCACAGAAACUCCAGGCAGAAAAUUGAUGAACAUCAAAAAUCCAUGGCUAAAGCCUCUCCCUCAGCUCUGGAGCCACCACACAAGCUGUUGAUACAGCCUUUUGUAAGGAAGGGGCAUGGUACCACCACAGUGAUGUUUCCAUAACCAAGGUGCAGAUGUGAGAUGAAUGGCCAAGAUGAAGGCCAAGAUGAAGGAGUGCCUCAAGAGUAAAGUAAACUGCAAAUCACCAGGAAAAGAAAGAAAAAAUACCCAGUACUAAAAACAUUGCAAGUGCCUGAGGCGUAAGUCAGAGCAAGCCUCCAUUAUCACUGCAGAGACUUGGCAGCUUUGCUCAUUAGGCUUCCUAGGAUCUGACUGAGUGACCUUGUUUGGUGGGAAGGCACAGAUGGAGUCUGGCAGUAAAUCUUGUUCAUGUAGCAAGGAUUCCUGCUGCUGGAUGAGGUUUGCACCUCGUACGAGCGUUUCUAGCCCCAGUAAACAACCACUGUUCCCUCCUCCCACUGUCAGCCCCUUAUUUCAUGCCACCAGGUACUCCAGCACUUCUUUUUACUGUCAAUUACCAAAAAUAAAGAGAACAUCUCGCUGUGAGUGUAGGAUGAUCUUUCUCUCAAAGGCAGUCAUGCACCUCACUUCUAGAGAAGCUGAUGUUUGCUUUUAAAUUUGGUUGUGUUACCUGAUAGACCCUAAGGCUUUCUUCUGCUGUGAGUCUGUUCCUGAGCUUGAGAAAUAAUUCUAUGAUAGGAAUGCAGUUUUUUACUAAAGUCAUACUCACACAGUUUACAAUACAAUAUAAAUAACUAAUAUAUAAGUAAUAAAUAAAAGGUUUAUCUAUCAGCCAAUUUUAAAUGGUCUAAAAUUUCAGGAUGUAGCCUAUUUAGUUUCAGUGAGAAAAUAAAAAGCUGCUUUUAAAGUUCAUUCAGCUUCUAAAGGGCAAUGCUAAAAAUGUGACACCACCUUGGUUCAGUGAAUGCCUUUGGGUAAAAGAAGAGGGAUACAAGAGUAACUGAAAUAUUUAAGUAAAAUUCAGUGUUGUGACCCUGAACACCAGGACAAAAUUCACAUUGUAUAAGCCAUAUUUCUAAGUGCAAUAAACCAUAUCUAUAAGUGAUAUUUUCUAAGUGUUUUGCACUGCUGAAGUACAGUGGCAAAGCUGAGAGUGGUUAGGGACUCCCAUUUUUCAGUUCUGCCUUCAGAUUUAUUUACUAAGUUCCCCAUCCAAAGGCAGAUGUGAAGACAUCAUUCCAAAGCAACAGCUUUGCAGAUUUUGAAAUGAUAUUCCAUCCUGCUUUGCAGAUGAAAGAAUCAAGCUUGACAUCAGAAACCGGGAUGGAUUUCUAGUGUCUCUUCCCUGACCACUUGGUUCUACAGGCUAGUUCAGGGCUCCCGCACAAAGAAUUCUGAGCCUGACUCCAAGGAAAAGCAGCUUUCUGCUGCCUGUGCCUGUCCCUGCAGGAGGGGCUGCUGCAGGGUGCUCUGCAGCACCUGGUGACUUGGAUUGCUGAGAAGGAAGGAAGGGAACAGACAGAAGCCACCACAUGGCUUUUACUGCUGCCUUUGCACCCCUCAUCCCUCUUCUAAAAGCCAGCAAGGCUCUGCAAUGGAAAGCCAGCACUGCUCACAGCCCUACUGAGGCUUAUAGUGCCUGCUUGUUUGUUUUUAAACACGAUAAUUUAUCUUAUCCCAUGGGUGUUUCUGCCAAGUUCUUGUUGCUUCCAAGGUUCCAACACUUUAUUAUUUAAAACUCCUCUGUGCUGCUUGCUCCUGUAGGGAUUAUGAAAAGAAAUUAAAUUUAGGGCACCAAAGAUCAUCACAGGCAGAGGAAUAAAACCUCCCUGCAAGCUUAAUUAAGACAAGAAGAUGGGCUGAUAACAGAUAAUAUUUUGCUAACUAGUCACCAAAGGUAGGAGAAGGUAGGCCUGCAGAAAAGGACACACUAUUACUAUUAAAAAAUGCAUAAUAUUACAAUAUAAUAAUUAUAUUAUAUUAUAUUAUAUUAUAUUAUAUUAUAUUAUAUUAUAUUAUAUACUAUUAUUAUUAAAAUCUUUAAGUUGCAUAGAAGGUGAUGUCCAGGUACUGAUACAACAGGAAUGGGAAAGGCUUCUCAGGGUCUGAUGGGAAAGAAAUGAGCAGAGUGUGUUAAACAGACAAAUGGGACAGAGGAAGAUGUUCUAGGCAGAAAUAUGCUGGAAAUAUUUUGAAGCAGAGUCCUGGCAAAGUGUUUUCAACAUUGUUGUUAAUAAGGUUUGAAUAACACUGGUGUAUCUUGACCUUGGCUUCGGGCUUUCAAGCAAGUGAAAUUAUGUGCUGGUAUGAUCCAUGACUUCAGAGAGGUGUCCCUUUCCUGUGCCUGUGCUAGGGGUCUAAAAAGUCACCUAAUCUAUGUUGCUUGCUCCUUUGAAACGACUCAGUAGUGUAAGAGAUAACUACAUCUGUUUUCAGACAAUAAAACUUUAUAUAAUUCCUUGGGAAAAAUCCUCCCUCAGUGUGUGCAUGUAGAUAAUCUGCACACUUCACAGGAAAUAUAUGCUGGUCAGCAUAAGUUCUGUAAAUUUAAUAAUAAUAAUUAAAAAUGUAGGCAAAUAUAUUUUAGCUUUGCCUUUUCCUCAGUGAGGACUAAUUGGGAUUUGCAUGUUAUGAAGACUUUUUAAAGAUGUGAGCUGAUAUUUGUGCCAAUUUUGCACGCUGGAUUUCACAAUCAGAUUGAUUCUUUCUGAGAUUGGUAGGUCAGGAUUGUCAAGCCCUUCCUUCCACUUGUCCUUGUUCACUGGAGCUAUUUUCUUGUGAGAGUGGCUCUGUAUUGCAGGGAUCAGAGCAUUCCUUGCACUGCACUACCAUUUCUGCAGGUGCCUGCAGCAAUGAAGGAGCAAGCCUUGGCAAUUCUCCCUGGUAAGAGUCUGUUCUCAUGGGUAAAUGACACAGCCAUGGAAGUGGAGCCUCAGAUUGCUCCUGCAUCUCUGCAGACACACUUGCAGAGAAAAUAUUCUGGUCCUAGGAAAACACCAUUCCCUUCAGCUGACAGGCUCUGCAAUGAAAGCCUGGGGGAGCUGCAAGAAGUGAAAUUCAGAUUGCCUUCAUUUUAUCUAAAUAUUUAUCAAAAUAAAACUACUUUUUUUUCCCCUGCAGAAAAUUCAUGUUUCCAUUGCUAGUUGAUUUUACCCAAUUCAUCCUAAACCAUGCAGAUUUUUUUGGUGAGGUGUUGUUUUUCGUUACAUGCAAAUGCAAUUUCCCCUGAAUAAAAAUUCUCCAUUUGUACUGUACUAUUAUUGUUGGGUUUUUUACCUAACUUGCUAAAUUUAUAAAUGGAAACCUUCAGCAAUGAAUAAACUAUUCUCAGACAAAAAAAAAUACCUAAUGCAAGUGCUGUACUUUUUAUCUCUAUGUUGAGUUUCUCUAUUGAGCUAUACUUGACAAAUACUUGAAUUACUGAGAUGUUGGUUUUUCAAACACCAAAACAAAUUUGCCACUGAUUAUGGCCACCUGGAAAUGUCCUGGAGAAACAUUUUGCUUCACAAGGCUGGAUUUGCUGCUAACAGUACAAACUUAUUUCCUGUUUAUUUGUUGAAAUAACUGUGCUUAUUUCUGUAAAUUUGGACUAGGACUAGUUUAUUUCACAUCACUAAUGGGUAGCUCACAAAAUAGCCAUUAAAAGUUUUCAGAUUAUUAAAAAUACUGAAGGGGAAAUAAAAAUUUAUCACUACAUCAUUAAUUUAACCAUAAUUCUUUACCUUCCUAUAGGCCAAUGUCAACACCUUUAAAGCAAGCUCUGAAGGCAAAGUCAAUGAGUUGUGUUUUGGAAGGUUUCUGAUUUAAUUUAAAUCCAUGCAAAUCCAGUGUAACACCAUUCAAGUGUAUCAAUAAUUGAAAAAACGUUCCACUGAAAUUAGUUUUAUAUGUGGGGGAAAUACUUUUUUUUUUUUUUUUACAAAACUAGUCAUCCUUUAAAAAAGCCCAGCCAAGAAGAACAAUGGUCUGAUUUUCAUGGGAAAUUUUAACAAAAAGUGAUGUAAUAUUACUUCUCUGUAUUCUCAUAUGGUAUAUAAAAUAAUCCUACAGGAAUCUGGAGCUUUUUAAUGACUGGCAACAGCUCCAAUAUCCUUGAUAUGUGUCAUGGCAUGGAUUAUUGCUCAAAUCAAUGCGCAGCAAUUUCCAGUCAAGGGAAACAACUGUCCAUUGGUUUGCUCUGAUACAUUUUCAGAGUAUCCCUACAGCCUCCCAUGGAUGUGCAGCUGCUCAGUUACAGUUUAAUUGCAUGACCCCGUAGGCUGACACCCAAGGAGUGCUCGUGGUAGGUGGUGACAUUCAGAACAAAGCAAAAAAGCAAAUACAGUGAAGACUGCAGUUCACACAGGAAGGGAAAGCAGACCAUGUGAAAAGAAAGAUGUCAUUCUAUCAUACAGUUGUCACACAUGUUCUUGUUUACAAAUCUCUAGGGAGAAAGAAUAAACCAGAAGAGAAGAAAACAACCAGUAUCUUUCUCACCAAAGCUCCUGGAGAAUCUCCUUGUUAAAACCAAGCAAACACCUUUCAGCAAGGCUAGUGUGCUAGACAGCAUCACCAGCCACUGGGGAAAUUGGAAGGCACCUUCAAUCUUCUGGAUAUUCCAUAUUUGGGAAUAUCUACUGCAACAGAAACUGGCCAAAAGCAGCAAUUUUAUGGCAGGUAUUCAGACCUCACCAUACGCUACCAAAUACACCUGGUCCAGGGAAUAAUCCUUUUUGUCACACAUAAUUGUAUUGUGGAGUUACAGGAAAUUGGUUGGACAGAGAAUUUCUACCCAGCUCCCAGCUCUGUCUCCUAUGAUGCUUCAAAUCAGGUUUAAUUAUUCCUUUUUUUUUUUUUUUCCUGGCAGGAUGUUGUGAUGGUUUUAUGCCAAAAGGUUUGAAGAAAACUCACUUUUAAUGCAGCAUUUAUGGCAUGGCUUUUAGAUAUUUUACUGUUUACUUGAAACAAUAUUUGGACAUUUUGUUAUCCACUUUGGAAAACUAUUUUAUAUACAUUUCACAGUACAUCCAUCUUAAGGAAUGUCUUAAAGAAAUUACUGUAACUUAAGGAGCCAACAAACAAUAGAUAUAAAAAUGAUGUGUGCAUAAAUAAGACAAUGGAGAGCUUAGAAAAUAAUUCCAUCAGUCUAUAUCAUCUUUUUCCAGACCAAUGUUUUAAAAGAGCAGCACCUUUUUCUUUGUGACAAGGCUUUUCUCCGUGCCUAAUAAGAUUCUUCUAUGUCCUAGGAGUAACCCAUGCAAUUUGAAGAAACAGGUGAAAGACAAAAAGAUAAUAUAAUGAAAGUCAUAGACUGACAGGGAAAGAAAGAGUCUGUAAAGCAGAGUUGUCAUAUUACCAUAAUUUCUGUCACUGAUCUAAUAUAGAACAUGGUUCUUCAAAAUAUUCACCACAUUUUCAGUACAUGAGCCAAUCCUUCUUUCUUAGGAAAUGUGUUUAUUGCUUGUGUAGUUACUAAGAUUCAAGCACACACUUCAGAUGCUUUCCUAAGUGAGAUUACAGUAGGAAACAGUAGAUUCUAGAGAUCUUGCUUCAAGUGUUUCCACUUCUAAUUAUACCUCCACUCCCUCUCUUCAGAAACCAUUAUUAUUCAGUAAUAAAUUCCUCCAGAGAUUUCUUGGAGGGUUUUUUAAGGAUAAAUGCUAUAGAAGGGCAGAUGUGUGCCAUGUCAGCUGGCUGUAAAAGCAUUGCUGGCAGGAACUGAAGUUUAGAACAAGAACUGCAUCCUCACAUAUCACAGGAGAAGACAACGUUUUUGGUAUCUGGGCAAGUUCAUUUUAAAACUGAGGAAGCUGUUUAUGUAAAAAGCACUAAAAUACUAUAAGUGACCACAAAACACACUUUCUCAAAUUAAACAUUCUGAGCUAGCUUCAGAUUUAAACAAAAUUUCCAACUAUUGCUCUAUGGAAUAUGACAAACUCAGUGGUGCUGACCACUUCCAGUCACCUAAGUGGUGUGGGAAAAACAGAAGGGAUCAGGAUUUCUUUUUCCAGGUGUCACCCCACACCCUAACUUUGCAAACUCUUCAAACUUUUUAAAAUAGAAAUGAUAAUGUGUCUUAUCUAUCUCCUUCUCAUUCUGCAGCUAAACCAGUUUGAUGAUCUUACAUGUUUUGGCUCUUUUCUCCUUGCUUGCAGUGUGGAAGAAUGGGGAUAUGUGGCUUCUUUGGGGCAUGGAAAGAGCUGACAGAAAUGUUUCCUCUCCAGCUUGACAUUAUCCCUAGGAAUAUUCUGUUCCACAUCACCUGAGGGACAAGCUGAGUGUCUCUGAGCCCCCAGGGUUUCUGUCUCCUAUCAAGCACUGAGAGCACAGCUGAAAUUCUGGAGCACAGGCAGCCCCAGACACCCCCACACUGCAGUUUGAGUGCUGCUGCACUUUCCUUGGGCAGGAUUUGGUACCACAAGAGUGCAGAGUCUGGAAGAGAGACCUGAAGUGCUCACAGCAGGCUGCAUUGCUAAACAGCCACUCACAUGCCACGAGCCACUGUCUUGUGUUUCCAGUCAGCUGAAAUUACAAUUCCUGUGCCUGGAACACAAAGGUCUUCAGCACAAGGACAGCAGAACAAUCUCACCAUGUUCUGGUGGGCUUUCCACAAACCACUUGGCAGUAGCUUUAUUCCUUCCUGUGCAAAUGUUCAGGUUAACCUCAGCAAGCAUGAGCUUUGAAUACCUGCUCUGGGAGUCCAUACUACCCAUGGAGAAAAGGAUUUCUAGUUAAAAUUGCACUGUGGGCAGGACACACUCGAUUCCUCUCCCUCUGUGCAUGGGCUAGAGGAGAUGUGGUUUGAACACUUCCAAUUCUGGAAACUUACUUAGGGUCCUCAGUCAGAAAUCAUAAAGCCAGUCCUGAAUGCUGCUAUUGACAAUAAAAUAAAAUAAAAUAAAAUAAAAUAAAAUAAAAUAAAAUAAAAUAAAAUAAAAUAAAAUAAAAUAAAAUAAAAUAAAAUAAAAUAAAAUAAAAUAAAAUAAAAUAAAAUAAAAUAAAAUAAAAAUCAGGCUGCAUGUACGUGCUGAAACGAAAGUUUGCAGUUCUGUCCAGUGACAGAGAACCAUGAGAACUCUUAUAUCAGUUGCAUUUGGACAAAGCAGAGGAACACUCCUUCCUAGUGAUAGAGAAGACAUUUGUAGCCUCCAUCUGCUGCUGAACACACCAGCCAGGCUUUCAGCCUUUUGCUCUCUGUAGGGAGCUGGUACAAGUCAGUCACCUUGGACUGAGACAGAUCAAAGGUCUCCAAGUCUGGAAUCCUUUCCAGCACCCCUCAGGGACCAGCACUGAGCCAGCCAGGAGUUAACACACAGUGCUUCCAGCAUGUUUGCCAUUCCAGGAAUCCCUUUUCUUUUGCAUGAACACCCAUAAACAUCCACACCUGUACAGUCUGGCUCUGACAUACCCAUUCAGCACUCUGCCUCGUGUUUCCCCAGCCUCUCCCUCAGCUUUUGUGGGCAAAGCACCCUGUGCACCCAGGCGUUCUGCAGAGCCACACUCUGAGCCUGCUGAGCCUGUCAAAACAACUCUGUUGUUGUGGUAGCCAAGAAUAUAGGGUUUUUUCUCCACUGGGAAAGUCUCAGACACACGAGGUGGUUUCUGAGUUUUAAAUUGUACUGGACACAGGAGGUUUUACAGAGGGUCACCCACUACUGAUUAAAGAGAACAGCUUGCCUUCUGUGCUAUAAUUCAAUCCAUUGUUCCUGUACCUCCACUUGCUAGGCCUGUUAUUACCUUUUUCCCAACCCUUUUCUACAACAUCCUUCUCUCUACAGAUCUAAUUCAACUACUUUUGCUAAUGCCAUUAUAUGAUUUUCUUCUGAAUAGGGAAAAUGUUUUGAUUAAAAACCUUGACAUUAUGUUCAGGAUAAUCUACCAACCAGUUUCUCAGAUGACAGCUGAUAGAAGGCAGCAUGUAUCUAAAGAGUUUACAAUCAUAUCCCUGUGUUAUCUUAAUUAAUGCAGUAAGACCUGUGCAUAGAAUUCACUCUCUUCAUAAUAUAUUGACAGCUGACCUCAUUCCUCCAUGGCAUUUUUAAAAUGCAUUUAUUGUGCUGCAGUGUGAAAACUUAUAGAGAAACCCUCUAUUACAGAGGAAAUUCACAUAUUGUAAUAUUUACUUAUAAUAAUUAGUCUCAAGGUGUUCUGAAAGAUACAACCAAAGGAAUAGAAUGAGAGUCCAUGAAGACAACAAUUGAGUGUGCUGCAAAACAUAUGCUUGUGGUAUUUAUCAUGCUUUUCAUGCAUGAAAGGGAAAUAAAGGCCUUCUACAUCAA